UACGUAAGGUCCGAGCGUUGUCCGGAAUCAUUGGGCGUAAAGGGUACGUAGGCGGAUAAGCAAGUUAGAAGUGAAAUCCUAUAGCUCAACUAUAGUAAGCUUUUAAAACUGCUCAUCUUGAGGUAUGGAAGGGAAAGUGGAAUUCCUAGUGUAGCGGUGAAAUGCGUAGAUAUUGAGAAGAACACCAGUAGCGAAGGCGGCUUUCUGGCCAUUAUCUGACGCUGAGGUACGAAAGCGUGGGUAGCAAACAGG
rnacentral:rRNA from 1 species